AGCUUGCUAGAACUUAGAGACAGGUGCUGCACGGCUGUCGUCAGCUCGUGUCGUGAGAUGUUGGGUUAAGUCCCGCAACGAGCGCAACCCACGUAUUUAGUUGCUAACGGUUCGGCCGAGCACUCUAAAUAGACUGCCUUCGUAAGGAGGAGGAAGGUGUGGACGACGUCAAGUCAUCAUGGCCCUUAUGCCCAGGGCGACACACGUGCUACAAUGGCAUAUACAAUGAGACGCAAUACCGCGAGGUGGAGCAAAUCUAUAAAAUAUGUCCCAGUUCGGAUUGUUCUCUGCAACUCGAGAGCAUGAAGCCGGAAUCGCUAGUAAUCGUAGAUCAGCCAUGCUACGGUGAAUACGUUCCCGGGUCUUGUACUCACCGCCCGUCACACCAUGGGAGUUGAUUUCACUCGAAGCCGGAAUACUAAACUAGUUACCGUCCACAGUGGAAUCAGCGACUGGGGUGAAGUCGUAACAAGGUAACCGUAGGAGAACCUGCGGUUGGAUCACCUCCUUUCUAG
rnacentral:rRNA from 1 species